UUAGCACUGUUUAGAUAGUGCGUGGACGUCACUUGGUACUCAAGACUCGCGCAAAUAACACAUUUUUCGUCAAUUAUAUCAGUGACUAAUACCAGGAAACAUUUAGUAAAGCAAUACCGCUGUCCUCUUGUUAAAAGUGUCUUUAACUGUACAGUCAUUUGCUGUAACGAUAUUUAUCGACGAAAUUGGCCAUUUUCUUCUACUUCAAUAAGACCGUUAUCUCACUCCCGAGAUGUAAUGGAUCUCGUAAAUCUUACGGGUAAUCCCACAUGAUAAACCUAGGAAAUCCUUUAACACGUACAUUAUAAAGACCAAUAAAUAUUUACAGUA